CCAAACCAUGGUCACAAACAGAACUAGCCCGGACAUCUCCACCCUGAUGUCUGAGCUUGCACACUACAGAUGAGACCCUGGGCGCUGACCCUGCUCUCCGGAUGAUUCUAAGCAGAGGAACUUUGAAGAUGACCUCAACUGUGUUCUCUCUGCAUCUUCUUCCAGAAUCCCAGAUUCAUCUUCCCUGUCCACGGCUGCCCAUCUGUCUACCACUGAGUGGGCCAAAGAGCUGCAGGUUGAAGCCUUUAAUCCCAGCAUUCGGGAUGCAGAGGCAAAUAAAUGCCUUGAAGCACAAUGCCUCACCUCAGGAAUCAUCCUCGUAGGCCUGCUUGGGGCUCCAAUCUCCUCAACAACAACAACAAAAAAGGAUCCAGACAGAGCUCUGUGUGAGGCUGAGGAAGGACCCGGGGCUGGUGUCCUCAAAAGCCUCCCCAUCCACCCCUUCCUGUGCUGCCUCCCCAGGAGCUGGGAGACUUAAAGACGAUACAGACUGUGCUUCAGUAAAGUGCAAAACCUUGGGCAAGUUGGACCAGGAGACGGAAGCAGCUUUAGGGGCUGUCUGCAUCCUUCAACC